GUUAAAUAUGAAGUCACACAUAAGGUAGUAUUAUUACAGUGAAGCACCUGGUGUUACAAGAUAAAAACAUGCAAACACUCUCCCACCUGUGACUCAUCUCUGCUGUCAUACCACACCUCCCAACACAGAAAAAGACUGAGUCUGGUCUCUCAGUGUUAUCAGAACACAAUAAUGUUCACAGCUGCUCUCAUCAAACUCUCUGCAGCUUUGCUCUGGUUUGGAGGUCUAACUGAUGGGAGUGAUGUCUCCCAGACUCCUCUGCUAUGGAAGUCAGAGGGUCAGUCUGCCACAAUGACCUGCAAUCACACUAAGAAUUUUGAUUACACACAGAUGUAUUGGUAUCAACAGCUGCCAGGACAGAAAAUAAAGCAAAUCGUUUUCACAGCUCCAACAACCCAGCAUACUUAUGAAAGUGGCUUCAGUAAGGAAAGGUUUCCAGCAACAAAGAACAGUUAUGAGACUGGAUCUCUGACAGUGGAGAAGCUGGUGCCUGGAGACAGUGGAGUGUAUUUCUGUGCUGUGAGUAAACACAGUGAUGCAGGUGGAUUAAAGAGCUGCACAAAUACCCAGACUAUGGUUUCACAAUGAACUGAAGACAUCAGUG